UACGUAGGGGGCGAGCGUUGUCCGGAUUUAUUGGGCGUAAAGAGCGUGUAGGCGGCCAGGUAGGUCUGCUGUGAAAACUCGAGGCUCAACCUCGAGCUGUCGGCGGAAACCAUCUGGCUAGAGUCCGGAAGAGGAGAGUGGAAUUCCUGGUGUAGCGGUGAAAUGCGCAGAUAUCAGGAAGAACACCUAUGGCGAAGGCAGCUCUCUGGGACGGUACUGACGCUGAGACGCGGAAGCGUGGGGAGCGAACAGG
rnacentral:rRNA from 1 species